rnacentral:rRNA from 1 species
UGGGGAAUAUUGGACAAUGGGCGCAAGCCUGAUCCAGCCAUGCCGCGUGAGUGAUGAAGGCCUUAGGGUUGUAAAGCUCUUUUGCCGGGGACGAUAAUGACGGUACCCGGAGAAUAAGUCCCGGCUAACUUCGUGCCAGCAGCCGCGGUAAUACGAAGGGGACUAGCGUUGUUCGGAAUCACUGGGCGUAAAGCGCACGUAGGCGGAUCAUUUAGUCAGGGGUGAAAUCCCGGGGCUCAACCUCGGAACUGCCUUUGAUACUGAUGGUCUCGAGUUCGAUAGAGGUGGGUAGAAUUCCUAGUGUAGAGGUGAAAUUCGUAGAUAUUAGGAAGAAUACCGGUGGCGAAGGCGGCCCACUGGAUCGAUACUGACGCUGAGGUGCGAAAGCGUGGGGAGCAAACAGG